rnacentral:rRNA from 1 species
UACGGAGGGUGCAAGCGUUGUUCGGAAUCACUGGGCGUAAAGGGCGUGUAGGCGGUCCGCUAAGUCUGUUGUGAAAGCCCGGGGCUCACCCCCGGAAGGGCAUUGGAAACUGGCGGACUCGAGUCCCGGAGAGGAAGGUGGAAUUCCUGGUGUAGCGGUGAAAUGCGUAGAUAUCAGGAGGAAUACCGGUGGCGAAGGCGGCCUUCUGGACGGCGACUGACGCUGAGACGCGAAAGCGUGGGGAGCAAACAGG